GCCAGCAUGGAGUAGUGGUUUGAGCAUUAAACUGUGACUCUGGAGACCAGGGUUGGAAUCCCAGCUCUGCCU